UUUGUUAAAAAAAAAAUAAAAAAUUGCGGAAUCCCGGAGGCUCCGAAUCCAAAGCCCGCUCAUUUCUCAACCAUAUUGCCUUUCACAAUUGCCACGAGUAAAAACCCUUGAAACCUCUCUCAGUCUCUCCAGUACCAACUCUAACGAUCCCCUUAUCUGUUGAUUCUUCAACGAUUCCUAUUUUUCUAGAUACAAGCAUCCCAUACAAUCCCAACAAGAAGCGCCAAUCGAUUCUACGCAAUUUGAUGUGCCAUUGGUGAUUUUUAUGGCCUACUCCGAUGUCCUGAAAUUGUUGGUGGCGGCAGGAAUUUGGUGUGCUGCGUACAUGGCGGUAGCAGUUCUUGCCUUUUGUCAAAUCUUUUGCUACGUCUGCGGCUGCUCAGUUUGAGAAUUCAGCGGCGGAGCUGAGAUUUCUGGCACAGGAGCCACUGCAAUGUGGACAGUUUGUUUUUGGUUCAAAUUUGACAACUACCUACAAUGUGGAGAAUGUCAGACAUCACGGUUAGGGACUUGGAUCCAUAGGAUGGCGGCUAGGCCUUCAAAUGAUGAUUUACUUGAGACGUUACAGUUGCAGGAACUGUUUUCUUGUGAGAAUGUACAAAUUUGUCACAAUAUACUGCAAAACCAAUUGUGAAUCAUGAGAGUUAUAAUGAAAAUGAGCUCCGAUUAUUGGUGAAGCAAAUUA